AUGAACGCUGGCGGCGUGCCUAAUACAUGCAAGUCGAGCGAACAGAUGAGGAGCUUGCUCCUCUGACGUUAGCGGCGGACGGGUGAGUAGCACGUGGAUAACCUACCUAUAAGACUGGGAUAACUUCGGGAAACCGGAGCUAAUACCGGAUAAUAUAUUGAACCGCAUGGUUCAAUAGUGAAAGACGGUUUUGCUGUCACUUAUAGAUGGAUCCGCGCCGCAUUAGCUAGUUGGUAAGGUAACGGCUUACCAAGGCAACGAUGCGUAGCCGACCUGAGAGGGUGAUCGGCCACACUGGAACUGAGACACGGUCCAGACUCCUACGGGAGGCAGCAGUAGGGAAUCUUCCGCAAUGGGCGAAAGCUUGACGGAGCAACGCCGCGUGAGUGAUGAAGGUCUUCGGAUCGUAAAACUCUGUUAUUAGGGAAGAACAAAUGUGUAAGUAACUAUGCACGUCUUGACGGUACCUAAUCAGAAAGCCACGGCUAACUACGUG
rnacentral:rRNA from 1 species